rnacentral:tRNA from 3 species
GGAAGGGUGGCUGAGCGGUUGAAAGCACCAGUCUUGAAAACUGGCAAGGGUUUAUAGCCCUUCGUGGGUUCAAAUCCCACCUCUUCCGCCA